GGAAUAUUGGUCAAUGGGCGCGAGCCUGAACCAGCCAAGUAGCGUGCAGGAUGACGGCCCUACGGGUUGUAAACUGCUUUUAUGCGGGGAUAAAGUGCGGCACGUGUGCCGUUUUGCAGGUACCGCAUGAAUAAGGACCGGCUAAUUCCGUGCCAGCAGCCGCGGUAAUACGGAAGGUCCGGGCGUUAUCCGGAUUUAUUGGGUUUAAAGGGAGCGCAGGCGGAAGGAUAAGCGUGACGUGAAAUGUAGCCGCUCAACGGCUGAACUGCGUCGCGAACUGUUUUUCUUGAGUGAGUACGACGUCAGCGGAAUUCGUGGUGUAGCGGUGAAAUGCUUAGAUAUCACGAAGAACCCCGAUUGCGAAGGCAGCUGACGAGUCCUUUACUGACGCUAAAGCUCGAAGGUGCGGGUAUCGAACA
rnacentral:rRNA from 1 species